UUGCUCCCGGGGAGUUAAGUGUGGCCAGUUCACAUGUACUGUAGUAGAUGACCAUCACAGAUUAUCUCAUUUCACCUGCACAGAGACCCUGAGGGGAAGACCGCUGAUCACCUUGACAGGUGUGACUCCAAGGCACCAAUCCUUGUGGACUCCAGAACAGUCCUCCAUAGUUCUCCACACAUCCACUAGAACACAUCUCCUUUCUCUUUAUCACUUUUCAUAUAGAUUAUGCCUGCCUUCCAGUGUGAUGCAUUGAUGGGAUUUCUGAGUGUGCAAAUGAAUGUUUCUGUUUCUUGGUUCUCUUCGGCUCUUUUCCUUCUUUUGUUCAAUACUAAUGUUAAUUUUUGUUUUACCUUAUUGUAUUUUAAUAUUAUCUCCUAGAAGCCUGUUUGUUUUCUAAUGAGACAGAGAGGGGGUAAAUCCAGAUGGGAAUGAAGGGAGGAAGGGACUGGAAGGGGAAACUGUAAUCAGGAUGUAUUAUGUGAAAAAAAUAUAUAUAUAUAUUUUCAAAAAAAAAAGGAAAAAGAAAAAAUGAGGAACUGAAAAUUCGUGGAAAUUUUCAGUCACAUACACAAUAAUAUUCUCAGUAUUCACUGACAACAUACCUCUGAUCAGUUGAUCAGAGACUCAGGACUGAGUGAGGGCCAGUGGACCUGCCAUGCAAAUGGAAGGAGCAGAAUUGGAUCCCCAGAACCUACGGCAUGGAAACCCACGGCCUGGGGAGGCUGAGACAGGAAUCACUGGGCCAGGUUGGUUUCCUAGACUCACUGGAAUCCAUGAACUCCAGAUACACCAAGAGACCCUGCCUCAGUGAACAAAGUGGAGAGUUAUAGAGGAAGGCACUGACAUCACCUCCUGGCCUAUGCAUGCACACCUGUUGUGGUGGUCUGAAUGAGAAUGCCCACCCCCACCCCACCCCUGCUCAUAUAUUUGCAAGCUUGGUCCCCUGUUGAUGUACAGUUUGGAGGGGAUUAGGAGAUGUGACCUUGUUGGAGGACGUGUAUUACUAGGUGUGAACAUUGAAGAUACAAAAGCUCACAACCAGGCCCAGCGUCUGUGUCUCUGCCUGCUGCCUAUGGAUCAAAAUCUAAAGCUCUCAGCUAUUGCACCAGCAACAUGCCUGUCUGCUUUCUGCCAUGAUGAAAAUGGACCAACCCUCUGAAACUGCACUGAAAGUAAUGUUAGAAUAAUUCAGCAUACCAGUGCCUUUUCAAGUCAGCACCGAGAUCUUAAGCCAGAGAAUACCAGAAACCCUUC
rnacentral:lncRNA from 1 species